rnacentral:rRNA from 1 species
AGACUGGGAUAACUUCGGGAAACCGGAGCUAAUACCGGAUAAUAUUUUGAACCGCAUGGUUCAAAAGUGAAAGACGGUCUUGCUGUCACUUAUAGAUGGAUCCGCGCUGCAUUAGCUAGUUGGUAAGGUAACGGCUUACCAAGGCAACGAUGCAUAGCCGACCUGAGAGGGUGAUCGGCCACACUGGAACUGAGACACGGUCCAGACUCCUACGGGAGGCAGCAGUAGGGAAUCUUCCGCAAUGGGCGAAAGCCUGACGGAGCAACGCCGCGUGAGUGAUGAAGGUCUUCGGAUCGUAAAACUCUGUUAUUAGGGAAGAACAUAUGUGUAAGUAACUGUGCACAUCUUGACGGUACCUAAUCAGAAAGCCACGGCUAACUACGUGCCAGCAGCCGCGGUAAUACGUAGGUGGCAAGCGUUAUCCGGAAUUAUUGGGCGUAAAGCGCGCGUAGGCGGUUUUUUAAGUCUGAUGUGAAAGCCCACGGCUCAACCGUGGAGGGUCAUUGGAAACUGGAAAACUUGAGUGCAGAAGAGGAAAGUGGAAUUCCAUGUGUAGCGGUGAAAUGCGCAGAGAUAUGGAGGAACACCAGUGGCGAAGGCGACUUUCUGGUCUGUAACUGACGCUGAUGUGCGAAAGCGUGGGGAUCAAACAGGAUUAGAUACCCUGGUAGUCCACGCCGUAAACGAUGAGUGCUAAGUGUUAGGGGGUUUCCGCCCCUUAGUGCUGCAGCUAACGCAUUAAGCACUCCGCCUGGGGAGUACGACCGCAAGGUUGAAACUCAAAGGAAUUGACGGGGACCCGCACAAGCGGUGGAGCAUGUGGUUUAAUUCGAAGCAACGCGAAGAACCUUACCAAAUCUUGACAUCCUUUGACAACUCUAGAGAUAGAGCCUUCCCCUUCGGGGGACAAAGUGACAGGUGGUGCAUGGUUGUCGUCAGCUCGUGUCGUGAGAUGUUGGGUUAAGUCCCGCAACGAGCGCAACCCUUAAGCUUAGUUGCCAUCAUUAAGUUGGGCACUCUAAGUUGACUGCCGGUGACAAACCGGAGGAAGGUGGGGAUGACGUCAAAUCAUCAUGCCCCUUAUGAUUUGGGCUACACACGUGCUACAAUGGACAAUACAAAGGGCAGCGAAACCGCGAGGUCAAGCAAAUCCCAUAAAGUUGUUCUCAGUUCGGAUUGUAGUCUGCAACUCGACUACAUGAAGCUGGAAUCGCUAGUAAUCGUAGAUCAGCAUGCUACGGUGAAUACGUUCCCGGGUCUUGUACACACCGCCC